ensembl:lncRNA
ACUCUAGUAUUCUUGCCUGGAGAAUCCCCACAGAGGAGCCUGGCGGGCUACAGUCCACGGGGUCGCAGAGUCGGACAUGACUGAGCGACUAAGCACAUCCCAAAAUUGGGAACUGCCUGGAAAAGCUGCAUGCUGUGAUCUGCAUGUGGAUGGUGGAUAACUGCGGCCCCACAUCUCCAUUGAAGUUACCGGUUGAAUUUUUGGAAAAGGAAAAGGAGAUGGAUGCUGCUGUCCUAAAGCCAGUGGGUCUCCAGCACUAGAAGGAGGAUGAACAGAAAGGCCUUUCCUUACUGACAUCUGGUUCAGACGUUUUAUGGCAGAUACCUGCCUCAUCGUUGCUUUUCCAUUCUCAUAACAUCUCUCACAUUUGGAGAUUAAAAGUUCUUUAGUAACACCUUCCGGAGUGUAUACAAAAGAUUAAAAAGUGUUUAUCUUUAAAGAACCAGAAACUGGUAUCAGUGAGGAAAAGAUUCAUACAUCUUUUACAUUAUAAUCUAAUUAUUGUCGAAGUCAGCUUUAACUACCCUUUUCCACUUCUCUGAAUUUAAAGACAGAGAUAAUAUCUUGCUGUUUACAAAAACAGAUUCAAAGGAGAUACAAGGUUAAAGAUGUUGCCUGUGUGUGAUCUGUUUUUCCCCUCUAGAUUUUCUACCCAAAAGUUCUCCACAAUAUUCUCAGACUCUGCAGAUACACUGGAGACAAUCCAAGCCCUGAAUUCCACUUUUUCAAAGGAUCUUUCAGGAAUGAGCUAAGCAGUGGUCCGUCUGCAGCUGGAUCAAAAACUAAACUGGCAUCUCAUUCAAGUUACACACUGUGGCAAAGUUACACACUGAGAGCAGCUGUUAAAGUAGCAUUGCCUGUGGGUUCAGUUCCUCCAUCAGCCGUGCAAGCUUCGCUAUGCUCCAUGGCCACAAAACGUGGUUCUAAACAAAGCCAGAUCGGCACCGGAUGCAUGUGAUGAGUAAGUGGGAGGAUCCAGCUAGGUUGAAGCAUCUCCCUCUGCCCACUUCAGACUCUUGCAAGCCCAGGUAAAGGCCGCCUCCUUGGGAGGUCCUUCCCUGAUAAAGAAAGAAAACCUCAUCCUUGCCUCACCACCACUGCCAUUUACCCUUCCCCACCUGUGUUAUUUCUACCUUGUCUUAUAGUAGUCCUUAAGAGGAGUCCUUAAGGAAAGACAGUGUCUAGAUCAUCCAGGAAUUUCCAAAACUCACUAUUUAUUGAAUGAAUGAAUAAAUGAAUGAGUGGCCUAAGACCUAUUCCUAUAGACAAUACUGCCUCUAGUCAUAAGCUACAAAAAGUUUGCGUAUGAUUUCCAGCAUUCUUGUGCAUAUUUAACCUUAUGUUGCCUAGGUUUUACAUUAUUUAACAGUUUUCUCUAAAAAAAAUUGGAGUGUAAGAAGCAGUCUAAGCAGUGUAAGAAGGAGUGAAGAGAAAGUUUUAGGAAGUAGUGGUAGCUGAAGACAGAGGACAAAUAUAGC